rnacentral:rRNA from 1 species
UACGUAGGGACCGAGCGUUGUCCGGAUUCAUUGGGCGUAAAGAGCUCGUAGGCGGCUGCUCAAGUCGAAUGUGAAAACUCGAGGCUCAACCUCGAGCCUGCAUUCGAUACUGGGCGGCUAGAGUCUGGUAGGGGGAUCUGGAAUUCCUGGUGUAGCGGUGGAAUGCGCAGAUAUCAGGAAGAACACCAAUGGCGAAGGCAGCUCUCUGGGACGGUACUGACGCUGAGACGCGAAAGCGUGGGGAGCGAACAGG